CGCUGGCGGCGUGCUUAAUACAUGCAAGUCAACUUGACUUUAGAUAGCAAUAUCGAAAAGUAGGGUGGCGCACGGGUGCGUAACGCGUAGGUAAUCUGCCCUGAGGUCUGACAUAACCCGUCGAAAGGCGGGCUAACAUCAGAUGAUAUAUAGUCACGACAUCGUGGAAAUAUCAAAUCUUCGGAGCCUUGGGAUGAGCCUGCGUCUGAUUAGGUAGUUGGCGGAGUAAUAGCCCACCAAGCCUACGAUCAGUAGCUGGUCUGAGAGGAUGAUCAGCCACACUGGAACUGAGACACGGUCCAGACUCCUACGGGAGGCAGCAGUAAGGAAUAUUGCUCAAUGGGGGAAACCCUGAAGCAGCAACGCCGCGUGAAGGACGAAAUACUUUUGUAUGUAAACUUCUGUAAGAUGGGAAAAAUAUUCUCCUCGGGAGAAUUGAUUGUACCAUCAGAGUAAGCCCCGGCUAACUACGUG
rnacentral:rRNA from 1 species